UUUUUUUUUUUUUUUUUUUUUUUUUUUACUUUGCACUUGAAAUAGCAGUAUGUGUAAAAUGCAGUUGACGUUCUGGCUUCUGAUCUGACAAGCUUUUGCAGUACAUGAUAGGUAUAGCCUUUUCAAAAUGUUCUUUUUGAACAUUCUGCUGGGUAAUGGUUUCCCAAUUUGCCUAGGGAUCGGUGCCCUGGGUACCAUCUGAGACAGUGGCUCAUUGUUCCCUGAUCCUGUUCUUUUCUGUGUGGACCACUCUUCACAUUCCUUCUUCCUCCCUCCUCUUCUCUUUUCUCACUGAUUUAAUGCCUCUGUUCAACUAUAUUAUCAAGUGCCUACGAUAUGAUAUGCCAGGCAUUCAUUAUUCCAGGACCUGGAAAUACAGCUCCUUGUGCUCUUGAAACUUACCUUCUUGUGAAAAAGGUGAACAAGAAACAACUGGAACAAAUGAAAGCAUUCAGUCUGAAUAAGCCCAACUAGCAAGUAGUGAGAGAGCCGUGGGUGCACCACUGAGGUAGGGGGUGAAGGCCACUCACUUCAUGAGGAAAGAGCUGAGCCUUCCUUCUUGUGCCUUUUCCCAUUGACCCUCUCCCUGAUCCCUGGGAGCCUGGCUGCACUCACAACUUUCAUGUACACAGAGGUGAGGCCAAUGCCACAUUAUUCCUCUUCCACCCACUCAGAGAUCUUCCAGAUACAGAUGGGCUGUCCCUAACAUGCUUUCACUUUCUUAUUUCCUAUUAAGAAUUCACUCAGGAUUACGCAUAUCAGAAGGCUUUCCUGAUCCUUCCAUCACGCCCUUGCUUCAUCCUCUGCAGACCACACAUGCUGGAUUUGCUAUGAUUAUAGACCUUCUCACAUUGCCUUGUAAGGUUUGUCUUCCAUCCCUUACUAUGCCACCCCCGACUGCUCCAGUGAAAGCCAGGUCAGCAUGAUUCUGUUUAUCUUUGUUUUUCCAGAGGCUAACACAGUGUCUGGAGAAGAUAAGUUUCAAUGACUUACUUUAGAUUUUUUUUUUAACCAAAUUAAUGAAUUGUUUAAUCUUACAGUACUUGCUCUUACAGUAAUUUCAAGCCUCUAAUGUACUUCUCUUCUAAGACAUGACUGAUUAAAUGAAAGCAUAAAAGGUAACAUAGUAGGGGAUUCAUUUAAGAAACUAAAUGCAUUCUUGUCAGUUAAAUAACAUGUGAAAAGUACAUUAAUAACUGGUUUCCUCUGUUUUACUAUUUAUAUUUUUCACAGCCGAAGAGAGCAGGAUUCUGAACCACAUUUAGAAUUAAUCAGAAGAAACCUAACAGGCAUACAGAAAAACAACAUAAUUAUAUAUGUGGUUUUAUAUAUGCACUGGAAAGUGAAAUUAGAUAAGUCAUUUGAAGAGCUGUAUGAUUCAUGAUAAUGCAAUCCAUUAUGUGGCUCACCUUAAAUUAUACUGUAUCACUGAAAAAACAUGCCGUGGCUCUAAAAUAUUUUAUAUGGGUGGUGUCAUCAUAGAUUUGAAGGAAUAAGUAUAGAUAUUUAGAAGUUUUCAUGGGAAGAUUUUUAAACAUUUUUAAAAGUUUACAUUUUCAAUAGUGACACGUUUUUAUUUGCCCACUUCUAAGAUGAAAAGAAAAUGAUUUUAUCAAGUUCAUUCUUAAGGUUUUAAAACUGUUUGCCAUCUUUUCCAAUAGUUUAAAAAAAUAAAUAAAUGAGUAUCAUCCAGUUUAGUGGUCAUCGACUUUAAACAUCAUGGCAUUUUUGUAUUUUAGUACAGCCUUCUUAAGUCUAUGUAUGUUUUUACCCUCUUUAGUCAUAGCAGUUUUAAAGAAUGGUCAUUAGGUUCCUUGGACACAAAUUAUUGCCCCCAAAAGGGUAAGAAUAUAAACAACACAAAUACUGAAGUCUAUUUUUUUUUUUGUUAAAAUAGGUACAUUUCAAGAUCCUUUUAUGUUGUUCUUCUGAAAUGUCUAUUAGUAGAUGGUAAAAUGAUAAAUUCAGCUGAAUAUAAAGGAGAGGAGGGAAGAAGAAAUGCAACUCUGAGUUAAUAAUUUCUUUUUUUUUAAAUAAUUUCUUAACUUCUGUUUUCUUCCUAUGUGGCAGAGAAACUUAGGUAAAUUCAUUAAGUUUUAGUUGAAUGAUAAUUAUUAUUUAUAAGAGAAGCGUAGCAUCAUUGUAAUUAUACUGUCAAAGUGGAUGUUUGCUUUUGUUUUAAUUUAUUGUGAGUUCAGAAGGAAGAGUUGUUUCAUCACGAGUGUCUAUGAUCAGCACAUAAAAAAUAACAAGAAAAUAGUGAGCAGAGCCCAGAGUUGCAGCUUCUGCUUCAUUUGAUAACCUGUUACGAUAACAUAUAUGUCGUGAAUAUUCUUAAUUCUUGGUUGAAAAUAUUGAUUAAGAUGAAAGGGUUUCUGUUUUUUUUUUUUUUUAACCUUUAAACAUUCCCUAAUAUAGAGAGCCGGCAGUGAUGGAUGGACUAAUAUGUAAUAAAUAUAGAAUCAGAGGUCUGGAAUAAUCUUUGGAAUAAUCAGAGGUCUGGAAUAAUAAUCACCUCCUACUCCCUGAAUCUCAGAAGUAGUACGCCAAAGGAUUUGACCUCCUAAAGGUCUUUGAAGAAAAUUUCAUUACUUUUUUUAUUGUGAUAUAGAUCAUACAUACAGAUGCAUACGUAAAGCUUAAACAAUGUAAAGAACAGCCAUAAAUUCCUAUAGGACCACCACCCACCGCAAGAAAUAGAACAUUACCCUUGCCCCAGAAGUCCUCUCUAUGUGAAGUUGCAUCUACUUUUCUAUCAAAACUGGCUCCAAUUUUCAAAAUUGUGUUCAGAGAUUACAUGUAGAAUCACUGGGUUUGGCUUUCCCCCCUCCCCCAGUGUCAGGAAUUCAUUACUGGAAAGAGUUAAACUCCACAGAGACCCUGUCUAGACCAGAAGUAUUUCUAUUUCCGGUACUUUAAAAAUGCAUCUAGUGGCUGAAAACAAAAUUGUAUCAUUUAGGUAAUUGUGCCGGGUGAUGUUUGUCAAAUUAGCUGUGGAGAGCAUCCUUUUCUCUGUCUUUGAAAUGAAGAGGCUUAAGAUGAAGAAACGUUGUUAGAGGUUUGGGUGGAUGGGGUUGGGAAGAGACUCUUGGAUUGACACCAAUUAAUUCCAUCUUUCCUGAUGCUGUAACGAAUCCAGUGGUACUAUAACCAGUUGAAAUAGCAGGGUAGAAAGUGGCUACCAGAAGGCAAUUUUCAGUUAAGACGUCAGACAAAUGAUUUCACAGUAAUCAAGUAUUUCAGAAGAAAAAAAAAAUUGUACUGCCAUUCUUGACUAGACACUAGAUCUUUAAAUACACACCUCAAUGCUCUGCCCAUAAAAAUGUUGCUUUUCUUCAUUUUGAUAUGUGCAACAUUAUGUCCAAACUUAUUUCUUAUGCCACUUUCUUACGUUGGGCCAUUUGUUUGGUUUUGUCUUACCGUAUUUUGGAUUAUUGAUCAGUGAGCAGACACUUUAUUACUGUUAAAAGAAGUUAUAAAUACCAUUGAAAUGGUGUUGGUGUUGAGCAGAUGGGUGCUGAUUUCUGCAGUUUUUUGUUUUUGUUUUUGAAUAUUUUCCCCUGGGAUAGCUGUUGGCAAAGUGUAACAACCUGCCAUUAGAUUACUGGAACAGAAAGAAAAAAAGGAAGGAAAAGUAAAUUAACCAUACGGAAGUCUACAUAUAUUUUUUUUCUAAAAAGAGAAAAGCACCCAACACUUUUAAAUAUAUUUAUUAUAAUUAAAGGGUGUAAAAAUACUUGUCAGAUUUAAUAUUACAUCUAACUUUGUUUCUUUAUUUUAAUUUUCCCUUACCCUCCUGUUUAUUUCUAUGCCCUGUAGCAGAUCCAUUUAAUAAUCAUUGCUGCCAGCACAGACCUGCCAUCAGCCAGAGAUGUGACAAUUCACAAAGAGAGAUGUUUGGCAUUCUAGGACACAGAGGACAUUAAAUUUGGUGUGAGACAGAACAGGUCUUUUUUAUUUUGACCUAUAAAACAUAGAUGCUAUUGUAAAAAAUAUCACUACACAAAAUAUCUUCAGCCAAUAGUUCUGGAUGAUAUCAAUCUUCAUGGUUUGCCCUGUGUUUUAUUACUGUAUUUUUUUUUUUUUUUUUGCCUCCUCCUCUUAUAUUUUGAAAGGAAAACCAAAGGGAUUCACUAUACUAUAUAUCAAUUUUGAAGCAACUUGUCUGGCUUCAGAGGUGUCUCUGAAUGGAGCGUUCCAUUUUUUUUGUUGUUGUUAGGGUAUAUUCUGUAACAUGUUUAAGGAUCAGAGGUUUUAUUAUCACUAGCUGGGGCAAAGAGCAAGAACUAAUCAAUAUUCUUCCGUAGAUCUGUCUCUGGGUUUCUUACCACCCUAUAUGUUUCCUGUUUUUCCUUUACUUCUGCUUGAGAGCUUUUCUAGUUAAAGUCUCUCACAUCUCACGCACAAUCCAUUAGGGUUUUCCACUUUCUCUACCUUUAAAAUACACUCAGAAUCUACUAACCACUUGUUACCUCAACUGCUACCACCUUGAACUGAAUACUGGGAUUAGACAGAAAAAGAUAAAAUUAUAUAAAAAUACUAUAUAAAUAAUAACAUAAUAAUUUAUAAUAAAAUAAAUUUAUAAUGACUUCAUAAAUUAAUAAAAUGAAUUUAUAAUAAUUGCAUUUUUAAUAAUAUAACAUAUAAGAAGAAUAUACUUUCCUUGCUUUAUACUUUUGCUGCCCUAUUCUCCCCCCAGUCCAAUCUCAAUAAAAGAGCCAAAAUGAUUAGUUCCAAAUGUUAAGUCCAAUCUUGUCAUUCUCCUCAGACUUCAGUGACUCUGUUUGACUACAAGCCAUAGUCCUUAAUAGAGACCCAUAGAGCUCUACUCAUCCACUCAUCUGAGCUCCUCCCCUGACUUGAUUCAAGCACUUUUGCCUUCUCGUGGGUGCUUACCUCCAGCUCUUUCAUCUGCGUGGACACAUCUACAGACAGCUACUGCAGCUACUGUGCUCACUCUUGUCCACCUAUGAGUCUGGUCAAGUGUCACCUUUAUAGUCUCACAACUUAUUGCACACCUUACCCAAGCAUUCUCACUCUCUAUUACUCUGCUUUACUUUUCUUUCUCUGUUAUGAACAUCAUUUCCUAAAAUGUAAAAUUAUUAACUUACUGUAUGUUUAUUAUCCAUUUUUCUGCUAGAAUGUGAGCUGCAUGAGGGCUGAGAUCUUCACCUUGUCAGUGGUGUAUUUUAAGUACUUAGAAAUCAUGUAUUGAAUAAAUGAGUAGGUAUCUGUAAGAUAAAUGAUUGGUAUACCCCCUGCUGGUUCUUAUCAUGUUUCUUCCUUCCAGAAUCUCACAGCUACGCUUAUCUGUAAUUGGACAAAUGGGUGGCAUCUUAGUGAGCUCUCUUAGAUGCAACAUCCCAAACCAAAUAUUAGAACCAAAAUUGUAAAAGGCAAGUAACUUGAUUCUUUUUAAGUGACCUAACAUCCUUAUUUUUGUCUCUCUCAAAUCUACAAACCUUCAUUUUCUCUUCUGGUUCUAAAAUAUUGUGAAGGAAAAGGAGAAAUUUUCAGUAUAGAUUUAAAUCCUUCUUUAUAGCUAUGUGACUUAAUUUCUAGAUGGUCCUCUGCCUGUGUCUCUGCCUCUUUCUCUCUCUCUCUCUCUCUCUCUCUCUCUCUGUGUGUCUUAAAUAAAAC
rnacentral:lncRNA from 1 species